GUGAAUCAUCGAAUCUUUGAACGCACCUUGCACCCCGUGGCUUACCACGGGGUACGCCCGUUCGAGUGUCACGUUAACAUCGCCUAAGGGUUAAACCUCUGGCGGAUCUGGGCGCUGCCGUCGUUGGCUCGCCUUAAAUGCAUUAGCGAGAACGCUGUGUUCGCAGCUGGCGUGAUAAUUGUCUCGCCUCAGCUUGCACUAAAGUUCUGCUUCGAAUCGCGUGGCGUAUCCGCGCAACUUAUUACAAGUUUGACCUCGAAUCGGGUGGGACUACCCGCUGAACUUAAGCAUAUCAAUAAGCGGAGGA
rnacentral:misc_RNA from 1 species